UGUAAAUAAUAGUAGUAUAGUACUAGUACUAAUAGUACUAGACUAGUACUAGUACUACUACUGAUCACGCGCCUGGGGAGCAUCGCGAAUUAGGGCCCCCCACCUGAAAACGCUCCACGCUGAUGAUCGUUCUCGGAUUGAAGCCCAUCUAAAUGAGGCAGGGGGUGACUUUCCAAAAGACAAGUGACCUUGCUGUAGCUACAUUCUUGAUACCCCUCAAUUCUAUUCAUGCAAUGACCUACCUCUGUUGUUGUGUAUGAUGUGCUAGCUAGCUAGCGACAUAUUGUGCGAGCAUACUGUUUGAGGUUCAGCAGUGUUGCUACACAUAUAGAGUAUGACAGGCGAUGAACCAGCUAGUCUGCAACCCAAACAUUCGCACCGGCUACAUAAAAAAUACAUUGAUAAUAUAUAACUCAUAUGUUGUUAAUUAACGGGAAUGUUUGACAUACGACAAAGCAAAUUUGAAAAGGAGGGAGUGUUUGCAGGACUUUCAUAAGGUGCUGUGGAUACAACACUUACCAUUAUGUACAGCUUCAAGGCUACAGGCAAACAUAACAUGGUUGGGCUACUAGAGACGGGUUGCCAUCUACCAAAAGAAUGUAUUAGAGGCCGGACUCCAGCACACCUGUGUCCAUAGUUCUGUUCCCGACCAUAAUGAUUAUGUCAUGAUAGUGUAAAGACAGUUUUUUUCUUCAAAACAAACAUACACUUCCCUAUUUACAAUUACCUUUGAUAAUUAUGGCAUCAGUUACAAACAAAGUACAGAAAAACAUUUCAAUAUUGGUCAAUGUAAGAACGGCCGUUCUAAAUUUUAUUUUCCCCAGUUCCUUUGAUCUGAAUCAUCGAUCUAUAGCACUUAGGUUUGCAUUCCGUAGCUUUUUAUUUGGGAAAUAGAUCACUGUGCGUGGUAUGCUGUUCACCGGUAUCUCGAGGUAUUUUUUGUUGGACCGGAGUAAAUCUUUUCAUAGUAACAGGAUAUCUUAAAUACAAUAUAAGGGAGGGAGGGAUUAACUAUCUAGCCAGAGCAUCAUAUAAUGAUGUGACCAUGGCUCUAUAUUUUUAUUAGCGAGAUUGCAUGAAAGGUGAGCAUAAGAUAGGCCGAAAUUUUUUAAUAGUCUUUAUAAUGAUUCAUAAGUAAAUAACAGGGUUGAACACACCUUCAGUUCAGUUUGGAUGUUAGUAUUAUAGGUGUGGAAAUGAAAAGGAGCUCCAAUUCAAUACAUGUAGUCAAGAUUACUAGAGAAACGAAGAGAAAGCGGACAGAUGAUGAAAAAAGGAUAAUUAGUAGGAACAAAAAGAUGCAUCGGCCGGUUACUUUGGCAACUUCGUUUCAAAAAGCAAAGAAUGUCUGACUAAUUAAUCAGUACCCACCACUCACGGGAGAGUACUAAUAUUGACUAGUUUGAUGAUCAGCCUGAGAGAUUUCGUUUCACCAGGGAGGAAUUCACACUUUAUUUUCUUUCUGCCAAACAUUACGCGGUUAGGUGCACCAGCAGUCCAGCACAAGUGUACACACUGACUUUAGAGGCAACCAGACAGAAAUAAAGUUGUUGAAGAACAUGGACAACACCAGACCAGCAGAUCCGGCAGAAAGUAUACAAAUUAACUGUAAUUAUAUGUUACUAUAACUAUAACUAGCUAGACGGUUUUUGACCAACAGGAUAACACACAUCUAUAAAAUGAGGUAUUCGUACAAUGUUUAUAUGAAGAGUAGCGUUCUCUUGCUGUAAGGCCUGUGAGGUACAUAUAACACCAGUAUGAAGGCUGGUUUACCUCUCCCGGUCCUGCUGCUGGUGGUCCAACUAACUAUGGCGGUUGCAAGCCAUGGCGGAGAUGGAGCUGCCUUUGUGGCUGCCCGACCAGGCACUGUUCACAGUGCUCUUGAUGACUCUGCCUAUGGUAUUCUCAACGAUGGGGAGGGUGCAGGCAGAGGUGGUGGUGGCGAGCAAGGUGGUGGUUGGACAAACGGAAGUGGAUAUGAAAGCAGAUAUGGAAACAGUUAUGAGCAGGGGGCAGGUAGACGUGAUGGUGCCGGGCUAGGUGAGGGUUGGGGGGGUCCAAGUGGAUACGAAAGCACAUAUGGGAACAGUUAUGGGGAGGCGGCAGACAGAGGUGGUGGUAGCGGGCAAGGUGGGGGUGAGGACGAUCGCAGUGGAUAUGGAGCCGCAAGCAGAUAUGGAAACAAUAUGUAUAUAUACUACAUCUCUAUCAAAAUAGUUACAUGUAAUCUUUCUAAUACUUGUAAUAAAACCUUGAAAUCUGAAAAAUACUAAUCUAUUGUAGGAAUAAUACAAUUGGAUAUACAAAAAUGAUAUUGAUAUAUCUGUAAUUGAGAAUUUUGUUGAUGCAUCUAUGUUUUCUAUAAAAAAUAUCCUGAAAAAUUAGUGCUCUGUGAAGGAAGCAUAUGCAUAUUAACUCUAAAAUAGUUGAAUCACUUAAUUUUACAUUGAAGUCAUCAGCACAGAAAUAGAUCCAACAAACUGUUUUUGGGCCCAGUUAUCGUAACAUAACCGACGUAGUCGCAUGCGCUCAAAACAGCAUCCACACAUAUUUUUAAACCAAUUCAUUUGCAAAGCCAAUCGUUUGUUACAAAAUAUAAACUGACUCAAUUAUGUCAUAGCUUGUUUUGUUGUAUUCCCCCCUCCCUACCCCCACACCCUCACGAAGUAUAUUCAUAAUGAUUAUGAGAUCUUUUACGUUGCUUGUGAGGUACCACAGGUACCUCUUAAACCAUCUAGUACCCAUCAUUGAUUUCUAAAAGGUAAAUUAGGAAUAGGAACUAAUAUUAGCAUGGGUUAUUUAGUAAUUCCUCAAUCACCAUCCCUCGGCUGUGACUGGCGGGCGCAGAGCGGUCAGCCGACCGGCGGGGAGGCACCCUCAAGGCCUCAACUCCCUCACCUGUGAACGGGUAUUGAACACACAGGCAGUUUGUAGGUCAUGGGUGCUUGCUGGUUCGAAGAUCAGAUCCGAUGCUGAGGAGCAAAGUAGAAGUGGGCUGCCAUUUCCCAUGAUUUCUGGCCGACACACCCUAUCGGGACUUCACAUUGCAGGCUGGACAGGAUCAUAUGAGGGUGGUGCCUUUCAUUUUUUGCGCGUUAGAUUAAGUGUGAUCAAUGAUCCUAAUGAGCUCCAAGCACCCAAGAAAGUCUCAAUGAGUAUAAAUAUGACAUGUUGUGCAAAAAUUGACUAAACUGUGUGGCCUUUGAGCUGAAUUUUCUGCAUGAUUUAUGAUCCAGCAUUAUUAUUUUCUGAAUUGGCUAAACACAUAUUAUUUCUUCUGCAGAUUUUGAUCCUUCGACGGACCCUCGUUCCCCUUAUCACCGUCUAUCUCACUCUUGCAAUCAUCUACCAUGCCCUUAAAAUGGACUGGCCACCAUUUGAAAACAAAUUAACAUGCAAUCUUUGAGCCUAUAAAUGAAAAAUCUGUGUCGUCUGUUCUAUAUUUAACAGACAACAAUGAUCUCGGUGAAUUCUGAUGGCGUGUGAUAAGGUAUAUAAUUUUU